AUGUAGAAAACCUAGAAGCUGUUAGCAAUUCUGGAUUGAUUCCAGAUCUUACUUCUCUGUAUAAUAAACUUUCUGCCCUCCAACGCCAGAAUUCUUUGAAGUGGGCGCAGCGCACUCGCCUUCUUUGGGUUCAUAGUGGAGAUAACAAUAGUAGCUUCUUUCACAAUUCAGUUCGUUUCCGUAAUCAUUAAAAUAAUAUUUCUCUUAUUUGUGACGCUGAUGGGAUUUGUUAUACUGAUCGUCUUAGUUUUGAGCAAGUUUUUUGUUCUUAUUUUUACUAAUCUGUGGACUGAGCCUUCAUGCUUGAACUUUAAUGAUAUCCUAUACGCUCUCCCGGAUGAUCUUCAAUUUAUUUCCCCUGAUGACGGAGAUUUGCUCACUCGUGAAGUAUCUAAGAAUGAGGUUUUCCUGGCCUUCAGUCCCUCCCUUCUGGUAAGAGCCCGGGUCCUGACGGCUUUAAUGCCGAAUUCUAUCGCUUUUUCUGGAAUGAUAUUGGUGACUCUGUAUUUGCAGCGAUCAGGUAUUUUUUUGAUAACUCUAUUAUGCCUAAUGCUUGGGGUCAGACUUACAUUUCUCUUGUCCCUAAAAAUACUAAUCCCAAGUCGGUUUCUGAUUUUCGCCCGAUCUCUCUGUGCAAUGUUUGUUAUAAAAUUAUUUCUAAAGUUUUGGCUAAUCGGCUUAAGAGUAUACUACCUAUGAUCAUUGGCCGAGAGCAAUGUGGUUUCAUCUCUGGUCGUAAUCCUUUCGGUAACAUUAUUGCCCUUCAAGAAGUAGUCCACACGAUAGAUCGCAAUUAUUCGAAUCCCCCUAGGAUGAUUGUCAAGCUAGACAUUGAAAAAGCCUGUGAUACACUGAAUUGGAAUGCAAUUCUUGCCACACUUACCGUAUGAACUUCCCGAGUCGUUGGAUUACCUGGGUUCAUGCUUGUAUCAGCUCUUCUUCUUUUUCUAUUUUAAUCAAUAAGCAGCCAUCCCCUUGGUUUAAAUCUACCCGUGGCCUCAGGCAAGGAAAUCCUUUGUCAUCUUACUUAUUUAUCAUGGUUGCUCAAAAUCUUACAACCUUGCUGAACUUUGCUCUGCGACAUAGCAUCAUUCCUGGAUUUGAUUCCUCCCUGAGUCAGAAUUUCAACCACCUUAUGUACGCUGAUGAUUUAAUUCUCAUUACUCAUGCUACUCGAAAAUCUGCUCGUAAUAUCAAUCUCUGCUUUUCCAUUUAUGAGCAACUUACUGGCCAACGAGCUAAUCCUCGUAAGUCUGAAGUUUUCUUCCCCUUUAGAUUUAACUUCAGGCUUAAGGGUAGUAUUUGCAACAUUCUCAACAUUAAAACAGGAGUCUUUCCGUUUAAAUAUCUUGGAGUUCUGAUUUCUCCUAAGCGUCUAGCUUUGCCUGUCUUUCACAGUAUGCUUAAUAAGAUAAACAAUUCUAUUUCCUUUUGGAAUCAUUCUAAAAUAUCAAAAACUGGCAAAACAAUCCUCAUAAAUUCCUCUAUUAUGUCUAUUCCUUUGUAUUAUCUCUCUGUAUAUCCUGUUCCUGAUACUGUGUUGGAUGGUAUCUCUAAAGCAGCUAGGUCUUUCUUUUGGGAUAAGGGUGGCAAUAGAAAAGGCAUGAAUUCGGUUAGUUGGAUAGAUAUUAUGCUUGAUCGAGCUGAGGGGGGUUUGUCGAUUCGUAAUCUUUGUGUGGCGAAAACUUCUUUAAUGGCCAAAAAUGUGUUUAAGUAUCUGAAUAAACAUAAUGCUAUUUGGGUGGAUAUCUUGUAUAAUAAGUAUGGCUCUUUGAAUUUUUGGUCCAACUCUAUACCUGCUAAUUGUUCUUGGUUUUUUAAAGGUUUAUGAAAUACUGCUUCAUCUAUUAAGCCUUGUUUGUGGUUGAAAAGGGUUAAUCCUGUCAGUACCAAUUUCCUAACGGAUCCUUGGUACUUUGAGAUCCCUCUUGCUUACAAACCAACUUAUUUUAAUGUGGAUCUUUCUUAUGACCAUUUGUGUCUGUCCGAUCUGUUGGUUGGGAAUUCCUGGAACAUGAAGAUGCUUCAUUUAAUCUUUGGUGAUAACAUUAAUUUUGAUUAUCUUAAUGCUGAGAACUUUAAUCAUGGCUAUGAUAAUUGGUGGGUAUGGUAUCCUAAGACUAGGAAGUUAACAAUCCCUUCUAUGGUUUAUUAUCACUUUACUCAUGGUGUUGAUCCCUUUGAUUGUUGGGAUGGGUGGGCCAAUCUGUGGAACCUCAAGAUAGCCCCUAGAGCUAAGCAUUUCAUUUGGCUUCUUCUUCACAAUGCUAUUAAGACUUAUGAAUUCUUGUACAGGUUGAACUUGGGGCCUCGUACUUAUUAUCGAUUAUGUAACAUUGAUUAUGAGACCUCUGAGCAUCUUUUUAAUCUGUCCUAAAGCUCAAUGUAUUUGGAGAUUAAUCAGUUCUGUUAUUGGUAGAAACAUCACUUUUGGUAAUAAUUUCAGCUCUCGUUGUUGGCUUGUCUCCAAUCAGAAUGGUUCUGAUUUUGAUUUGUUUACUCGAUCUGUAAUUGCUGUGACUGUCUGACUUAUCUGGAAAGCCAGGUGCAAGAUUAUAUUCCAGAAUGAGACUAUGGACUGUGCUGUUCUUGCUACUCAGGCGGUGGCUCAUGUCAGGGACUGUCUGGAAUCGCGAGUCCAACUUGGCCGGAGUAGGCUUUCACAUCUCCAAUUACAACGCUACUUCUUGCCUCGUUCUUGCUGGCUGCGGUCCUUCUUUUGCGGAAACUGGAAUUGAAGCUGAUGCUCAAGCUCUCAUUUUGGCACUGCAGAGUUCAUUGAAUCUGAGUGUUAUCUGCAAACAUAUUUUCCUCGCAAAUGCUGCACUUCUAAAGGCAAUUACCCUGGGCUGUCGGCAAACUUUAUGGCGUCUGGAUCCUUUAUUUAAUUCUAUAUCUUAUCUCCUGAAUGAGCUUAAUUCUCCUCAAAUUUCACAUCAUACCUCAAUCAUGGAUGAAUGCAGCUGUCAACUUGGCCAUUCUUGGUUCUAGCAAGCAUUCGUUAACCUUUUUUCAUCAAGGGAGAGAUCUACCCCGUUGGAUAAUGAAGCAUUUUAUUUAGCUCCAACUGUUUUCUUUUUUCUUUUCAUUGAUCAGUCUUCUGUUUUGUUUCCUUUCAUUUUUGUAGCUUCUUCUUCUUUUUGAAUAAAUAGCUUUGAGAGCUCCUUUUCCCCAAAUGAAACUUCUCUACAAUAUCAUGCAUCCUAGAAACAAUACCAUCAAGAAAUGGGAAUUGAGUAGAGCCACAUACCAUUGGCCUUUCC